rnacentral:lncRNA from 1 species
CCAGGCCAGCAGCAUCAGCAUCACCUGGAAACUUGUUAGAAAUGCAGAUUCUCAGACCAGCUGACUCCACCUCUGAGAGUGAGACCCAGAGAUCUAUCUCUUCACAAGUACUCCAGGCCACAAAUGCAGAAUCUAUGAUCACAAACAAGGAGGAUGAGCUGAAGUUGACUGAAUACAUCUCCUGCUCUGGCUGAGGAUGGAUGGGAGUGGGGUGAAACUAGCUGCUCACUCCAGAAGAACCUAAAGCAUGUCACACAGUCAAGGACACUUUUCUCUGUAGGCCCUCUGGAUGGAAAAGAAGGGUCGACACCAAAAGCAUGUGCUGGGAGGUAUGUAAGGUUGAAGUUCAAAGGUCAAAUCCAAAUAUGCUCAACGAGAUACUCUGGUUGAACCACAGGAGCUGAGGCCCUGAACCACAGGACCCAGGAAGGUGCAGAGUGAGCAGCAAUAGGCAUAGUUGAUCAGCAUGUGGCCUGGAAAUUUUCCGGAAGGAAAGCACAAUUUUCUUCAACUAUUUUUAUCACGUUCCCAGGGCCUGGCCUAUUUGAUGCAAGAGAUAAAAGAGCACGCAAGGUGGACAUGGUCCCUGACUCCCCGACAAGGGCCUAGAAUCUACUAGACAAGGCUGACCAUUAAAGAACUUAGCCAGCACCUCAGACUCAUCUUUCCAGC